rnacentral:rRNA from 1 species
UGCCAGCCGCCGCGGUAAUACGUAGGUGGCAAGCGUUGUCCGGAAUUAUUGGGCGUAAAGGGCGUGUAGGUGGAUUCUUAAGUCGUGUGUCUAAGUGCGGGGCUCAACCCCGUAUGGGCGCAGGAAACUGGGGAUCUUGAGUGCAGGAGAGGAAAGUGGAAUUCCCAGUGUAGCGGUGAAAUGCGUAGAUAUUGGGAGGAACACCAGUGGCGAAGGCGACUUUCUGGACUGAUACUGACACUGAGGUGCGAAAGCGUGGGGAGCAAACAGGAUUAGAUA